rnacentral:rRNA from 1 species
UACAGAGGUCCCAAGCGUUGUUCGGAUUCACUGGGCGUAAAGGGUGCGUAGGUGGUGAGGUAAGUUUGAUGUGAAAGCUCCGAGCUCAACUCGGAAAUGGCAUUGAAUACUAUCUUGCUAGAGGUUUGGAGGGGGGACUGGAAUUCUCGGUGUAGCAGUGAAAUGCGUAGAUAUCGAGAGGAACACCAGUGGCGAAGGCGAGUCCCUGGACAACACCUGACACUGAGGCACGAAAGCUAGGGGAGCAAACAGG